UUUUGUAUGAAAUUGAAAUCAUUUGGAAAAGAGUGAAACGACAUUUUUCUCGAUAAAACCCGAUAUCGCACGUAGAUUAGUGCCUCAAAUCACCGUAGAGCGAGUCGUUUACCGCCCGCUAGGAGGGGGUGGUUAUUCUCAAAAUCGGCGAGCGCAUACUGCCCGACAUGGCCUGCAUGUGAGAUCGCCACAAUGUCGUGUUUUAGUUUAUAGAGCAUAACAACAAAUUCCAGUCAGUCUGUCGUCGAAUCUGUACAUUCAGCUCGCAUGCUUUAUGGCAAAAGAGGGUUUAGUUUCUACAAAUAAUGUCUCCAGUUCACCUUUUUCUAUUAUAGAAUCUAACAGAAUCUAAUAGCAAAAAAACCCCACAUGCCCCGGCUUCCCUUUUUAUUUCUGUUUCUCGUGAACGAAGUGUUUUUGUCUGCCCCUAGCACUAUCUUUAUUAUAUCUCAUAUGCAUGUUUUCGUAUAUCUUGGCGAGUUUUAUUAAGCGUUUUGUUACCCAGAUGUAUAGGUUUUAAAUCAUCCUUAAAAUUUGACUGUUUUCACUUAAUUUGCGUCCUAGAGAAACAGUUGUUACAUGAUACAGACGUUGAGGAUUUUCCGCACUCCGAGUUCGUUACCAUUUUUUUGAAGUUACAAUGUUAGAUCAGUUUCGUUUGAAUUAGUGUAAAGAUGGAUCGACUUGAUUUUGUCGAUAUGAUGCACUGCCUACGAAGCAAAGAAAAUUGCACUCCUCAAGUUGUCGUUCACAAAAUCUCAAUUCCUGCAGCCAGGCACCGAUAACGCCUCUUUUGAAGUUAAUUUCACGCUGAAGAAAUCGACAUCGUUGGAUUAAAAAUUUAAUAACAUAACUAAAUUAAUUUCAACUCUAAUUACGCUACGUUAUCAUUGCGAUUAAAUGUAUAAUAAACAAAACGUUUCAAAAUGUUUGAAUUUAGAACUCUUUACGACGGGAGGUAGAAAUGUGAAUUAAAAGAUGAAACAGAUCAAUCUAUUUAUUAUCUUGUUUUAUAUAAAAGUCUAUGCUAAUUUUCAUGAUAAAAAUCAAAAUAGAGGAAUCUCAUUUAAGAAAACGUGUUAUAAAUGUGGCGAUAUACAAUCUAACAAAACCGAUUAAGAUGUUAUUUUGUUCUAUGACGGAAUAUUUGCCAUCCCCCGGAGAAGCGCUCGUCUAUCAAAGCCAUCGCGUGAAGACCUUUUUAUUGCUUAUCAGAAUCCCUACCCUGUUUCAAGAUAGCAUUAAGUGUAAUUAAGUAUACACAUGCCGCUUAUAAGCAGGCUCCGAUCGCCUUCUAUAAUAAAAUCAUUUCUCAUUAAACACGAACUGUGAUAAACAUUGUGUGUGUUGUAUGUCUUUGAAAUGUUCAGGUUAUUUUCAACUGGAAACCAAACUAAUGAUGCUUAAACAAAGGCACGUAUUUGUUUUCUAUGACAUUAAUUUCAUAUAGUUGUCUGAAUUUUAUUUACAAGUUAAAAUUAUC